rnacentral:rRNA from 1 species
GAUGAACGCUGGCGGCGUGCCUAAUACAUGCAAGUCGAGCGAAGAGAGGAGGGGUGAGUAACACGUGGUGAACCACCUAUAAGAACGGGAUAAAUUCGGGGAAACGGAGCUAAAACGGAUGCUUAUACGUGGUACGACGCGCCAUUAGCUAGUUGGUAAGGUAACGGAUUACCAAAGCAACGAUGCAUAGCGGAGCUGAGAGGUGGAUCGGCAAGACGGGAACUGAGACACGGUCCAUACUCCUGAGGUAGGCAGCAGUAGGGAAUCUUCCGCGAUGGGCGAAAGCCUGACGGAGCAACGCCGCGUGAGUGAUGAUGGUCUUCGGAUUGUAAAACUCUGUUAUUAUUGAAGCGGUACCUAAACAGAAAGCCCCGGCUAACUACGUGCCAGCAGCCGCGGUAAUUC